GACGAACGCUGGCGGCGUGCCUAAUACAUGCAAGUCGAGCGGACGAUUCGAAAGCUUGCUUUUGAAUCGUUAGCGGCGGACGGGUGAGUAACACGUGGGCAACCUGCCCUGUAGACGGGGAUAACACCGAGAAAUCGGUGCUAAUACCGGAUAACACGAAAUGUCGCAUGACGUUUCGUUGAAAGGCUGCGCAAGCUGCCGCUACAGGAUGGGCCCGCGGCGCAUUAGCUAGUUGGUGAGGUAACGGCUCACCAAGGCGACGAUGGGUAGCCGACCGGAGAGGGUGAUCGGCCACACGGGAACUGAGACACGGCCCAGACUCCUACGGGAGGCAGCAGUAGGGAAUCUUCCGCAGUGGACGAAAGUCUGACGGAGCAACGCCGCGUGAGCGAAGAAGGCCUUCGGGUCGUAAAGCUCUGUUGUUAGGGAAGAACAAGUAACGUAGUAACUGACGUUACUAUGACGGUACCUAACGAGAAAGCCACGGCUAACUACGU
rnacentral:rRNA from 1 species